rnacentral:rRNA from 1 species
UACGUAGGGUGCGAGCGUUGUCCGGAAUUACUGGGCGUAAAGAGCUCGUAGGUGGUUUGUCGCGUUGUUCGUGAAAUCUCACGGCUUAACUGUGAGCGUGCGGGCGAUACGGGCAGACUAGAGUACUGCAGGGGAGACUGGAAUUCCCGGUGUAGCGGUGAAAUGCGCAGAUAUCGGGAGGAACACCGGUGGCGAAGGCGGUUCUCUGGGCCUGACCUGACGCUGAGGAGCGAAAGCGUGGGGAGCGAACAGG